rnacentral:rRNA from 1 species
AUACGUAGGGUGCGAGCGUUGUCCGGAAUUAUUGGGCGUAAAGGGCUCGUAGGCGGUUUGUCGCGUCGGGAGUGAAAACAUUCAGCUUAACUGGGUGCUUGCUUUCGAUACGGGCAGACUAGAGGUAUGCAGGGGAGAACGGAAUUCCUGGUGUAGCGGUGAAAUGCGCAGAUAUCAGGAGGAACACCGGUGGCGAAGGCGGUUCUCUGGGCAUGAUCUGACGCUGAGGAGCGAAAGUGUGGGGAGCGAACAG